GCACAACGCCUCCAAACCCUUUUCAUUCCCAAUUUCACAUCUCUUCCCACCCUCUCAAACCCUAACCUCCCAACCUCCCAAUAUUGAAUAUCGUUUGAUAAUGUGGCAGCGGGUGGCGUAUAAUGCAACGCCUACACACCCACUCGCUCUCUCAUUUUUGUCUCCGUCCUCUCACCUCUGCUUUAAGCACGGUCAGAGAGUGAGGACCGGAACCAAUCUCUGAAUCUGGGGUUAGGGUUAUCCCUAAUCCGAAUACCAGUAAUCCCAAUUCGAUUCUCGAAGCAGAGAGAAGCAAGAUGGGCGUCAAUUCUGUAUCCUCGGAUGCGAGCAGUGAUCUGAACGAGCAGAUCGAGCAACUUAUGCAGUGCAAGCCACUCUCGGAACCACAGGUUAUUCCGCGUCGUCCUCCCAAAAUGACACAAGCACAGUGAAGCAGAUCGGUAGAGUUCUCCCGUUCCUCAUCCAUACCACAUGAAGAGUAAUAUUUAGGGUCCUUAGCAUAUAGCAUGAAUCACUAACGCCUAAAUUUUAGGGUAAAAACAAACCUCCAACCUAGGUGGUUGCUAUCAAAAGGGUGCCUUACUAGAUAGAACCUAUACUCCAGUUUAACUCUUGUCACCAUGAAUAACGAGCUAUGACUCAGUAGGCCAUGCAAUGUCCUGUUAUAAUUCAAAUAUGAUAUUAUACAACCAACCAUAGUAUUAAUGACAAUGCAAUGAUAUAAAAAUAUACUUCUCAUAUUUCAAAACUCAUAAGAAGAAGUCCAACUCCUUUGGAAAGUUGUUCCCAUGAAUUUUGUACCACAAGUUUGUGAACAUUUUAUCAUCUCCCAAAAUGACACAAACAGAGUGUGUCAGAUCAGGACAUCCCAAUAGAGUUCUCCCGUUCCUCAUCCAUACCCCAUGAAUAGUAAUAUUUAGGUGAUCUUUUUUAUAAAACCUCAAAACAUGGAGCAUGACACUAAUAAUAUCGCUGCAAUAUUAAAAAAUGAAUACGAAUAAAUAAAAAUGAAAAACAACAUACUUUAGUAAAAUAAAUGAAUACGGAUAAAAAGAAUUGCAAAUUAUUAUAUAUGUAUAUCGUACGCAGCUUCGGGACGAUGUAUUAGUUAUCUGGAUUCAUCAACUCAUAUGUAUUAUUUACCCAAUAUCCGAGGUAGCAAUCUACUGACUCGGAAAAGACAAACGUGCUCUUAUUGGGAAACCUUUGGAUGAGAUUAACGGGCAUCACGUAACGGGAGUCACAUAGCGACAAUAACAAAUACCAUUCCCGUUAAGUGCUGCCUGUUAAUAUCAUCCAAAGGUUUCAUGAUAGGAGCACACUUGUCUUUUUCGAGUCAGUAGACUGCUGCCUCGGAUAUUGGGUAGAUAAUACAUAUGAGUUGAUGGAUCCAGAUAACUAAUACAUCGUCCCGGAGCUGUGUAUGAUAUACAGGUAUAAUAGUUUGCAAUUCUUUUUAUCCGUAUUCAUUUAUUUUACUGCAGUAUGUUGUUUUUCAUUUUUAUUUAUUCGUAUUCAUUUUUUAAUGUUGUAGCAAUAUUAUUAGUGCCAUGCUCCAUGUUUUGAGGUUUUAUAAAAAAGAUCACCUAAAUAUUACUCUUCAUGGGGGUAUGGAUGAGGAACGGGACGACUCUAUUGGGAUGUCCCGGUCUGCCUCACUCUGCUUGUGUCAUUUUGGGAGAUGAUAAGAUGUUCGCGGACCUCUGUUACAAAAUUCAUGGGAACAACUUUCCAAAGAAGUUGGACUUCUUCUUAUGGGUUUUGAAAUAUGAGAAGUAUAUUGUUACAUUAAUGCUAUGGUUGGUUGUAUAAUCUCAUAUUUGAAUUGUAACAGGACAUUGCGUGGCCUACUGAGUCAUAGCCUGCUAUUCAUGGUGCUAAGAGUUAAACUGAAGUAUAGGUUUUAUCAAGUGAGACGUCUUUUUGAUAGCAACCACCUAAGUUGGAGGUUUGUUUUUACCCUAAAAGGCGUUGGUGGUUCUUGCUAUUUGUUAAGGAUCCUAGUUGCAAUUGGUGGUUCUUGUCAGAUAAGUUGAAUGUAAAGCCAGAGGGAGGUCUUCAAGCUUUCCCACAGCCGAGCUAACAAGAUUAGUUAUAGAGCUAUCAUCAAAUUCAAUGUUGAAUUGCCCCAGAUCUUCUGCUGUGUUUCCAUAUAUUACUCUCAGACUGCGGUAGCUGCCCUUUACAACCAGAUGAUUAGUUACAACAGACUAUAGAUGAGUAAUGACUCCUGUGAGAAUAGCCAACAGAACAAAUAAACGGUGUGUGUCCGUGUA